UAAUACGUAGGGUGCGAGCGUUGUUCGGAAUUACUGGGCGUAAAGGGCGCGUAGGCGGGUCUAUAAGUCGAUUGUGAAAGCCCCGGGCUUAACCUGGGAACAGCAGUCGAAACUGUAGAUCUUGGAUACCUGAGAGGAUGGCGGAAUUCCCGGUGUAGAAGUGAAAUUCGUAGAUAUCGGGAAGAACACCUGAGGCGAAGGCGGCUGUCUGGCGGUGUAUCGACGCUGAGGCGCGAAAGCGUGGGGAGCAAACAGGAUUAGAUACCCUGGUAGUCCACGCCGUAAACUAUGGAUACUAGGUGUCCGGAGUGUUAACCCUCUGGGUACCGCAGCUCACGCAUUAAGUAUCCCGCCUGGGGAGUACGGUCGCAAGACUA
rnacentral:rRNA from 1 species